AGAGACACUUUCUUCACAAGAAGAAGUAUUUUAAUACAGGAGAGUUGACUGCCUUCUGGGCAGACUUCAAGGCCUUUUUGGAAGAGAUCGAGAAGGAUGAACGCCCCCAGAAAUGGGAAAGACUCGAGGAAAUUGAUAGAAGAAGGGCUGAAAGGGUCAGAGACAACACAGAAGAAUAAUGUACCAUAGAG